AGAGAUGCUUUGGUGCCUUCGGGAACUCUGAGACAGGUGCUGCAUGGCUGUCGUCAGCUCGUGUUGUGAAAUGUUGGGUUAAGUCCCGCAACGAGCGCAACCCUUAUCCUUUGUUGCCAGCGGUCCGGCCGGGAACUCAAAGGAGACUGCCAGUGAUAAACUGGAGGAAGGUGGGGAUGACGUCAAGUCAUCAUGGCCCUUACGAGUAGGGCUACACACGUGCUACAAUGGCGCAUACAAAGAGAAGCGAACUCGCGAGAGCAAGCGGACCUCAUAAAGUGCGUCGUAGUCCGGAUUGGAGUCUGCAACUCGACUCCAUGAAGUCGGAAUCGCUAGUAAUCGUAGAUCAGAAUGCUACGGUGAAUACGUUCCCGGGCCUUGUACACACCGCCCGUCACACCAUGGGAGUGGGUUGCAAAAGAAGUAGGUAGCUUAACCUUCGGGAGGGCGCUUACCACUUUGUGAUUCAUGACUGGGGUGAAGUCGUAAC
rnacentral:rRNA from 1 species